GACGAACGCUGGCGGCGUGCUUUACACAUGCAAGUCGAACGAUGAAGCCGGAGCUUGCUCUGGUGAAUUAGUGGCGAACGGGUGAGUAACACGUGAGUAACCUGCCCUUGACUCUGGGAUAACUGCUAGAAAUGGUAGCUAAUACCGGAUACGACCCUCGGAGGCAUCUCCAGGGGGUGGAAAGAAUUUUGGUCAAGGAUGAGCUCGCGGCCUAUCAGCUUGUUGGUGAGGUAAAGGCUCACCAAGGCGACGACGGGUAGCCGGCCUGAGAGGGUGACCGGCCACACUGGAACUGAGACACGGUCCAGACUCCUACGGGAGGCAGCAGUGGGGAAUAUUGCACAAUGGGCGAAAGCCUGAUGCAGCAACGCCGCGUGAGGGAUGACGGCCUUCGGGUUGUAAACCUCUUUUAGCAGGGAAGAAGCGAAAGUGACGGUACCUGCAGAAAAAGCACCGGCUAACUACGUGCCAGCAGCCGCGGUAA
rnacentral:rRNA from 1 species